UCGGGGCCAGACUGUGAGAGUGGUAAGUCAGGAUAAGUUUGGUGCCUCCUCUUUGUUUUUUUUGCUUUUAAUAUUUGCUUAUGAAGAAUUAUGAUUGAGAGAAGUAUUAUUGAAAUUGUGAUUAGAAUAUUGUGGAAUAUGACUUUGGACUGACCGUUUUGGAGAAAAUCUGUGACCUUGAGAAUUGAGAUUAUCCAAUUGUAUUGUACUAAGUGAAGAUAUUGAAUUGUGUGUAAUAGAUUGAGAAACUGAAUAUAAUAAGUAAGCUAGAGAUCAGUAAUUGAAUAUAUAUAAACCGCAAAGAAAGUAAGUAGGAGAUGAACUGAUAAGAAUAUGGAAGUAUUAUUGAAUUGAUAGUCGUAGAAUAGAUUAAGUGUUGAAUUAAGAUGAAAGUAGUAAGCCUUGGUGUUUUGUAGUUUGAUAAUUGAUUUCA
rnacentral:lncRNA from 1 species